AUGGGCCAUCUUCACUGGCUACUGUUUAUCUUUUCAUUGGUACAAGCACAUCCUGACACGGUCUGUCACUGCAUCAACACUACAAAUCUUUUUAAAUCAGCGACCCACAUGUCAGUGAUGGUCCCCCCUUUUUGGAGUAUAAUAUUUGUAAGGUCCUAUGUGGCGAGUUUUCCUACUCUGCCUCCUUUUCACCCAGCCUCUCCUCACCUAUAAAAAAAGAAUUACUGGAUUGGUAUUUGUAUCUUAGACGUUCAUCUAAACAUUUCUGUCAAGGCCUCAAAGGCACCGGUUCAAAAUUAAUAAACUUCCUUUCUAAACAAAGAAUAGACACUACUCUUGACAGAUACUGUUGACUGCAAACACUUAUUAUCUUUUCUCCAUAGUGUAAGUUCAGGUCAGGGCACAGAUAAGACUGUAACUCAAGCAUAAACUCAACAUCUUUAGGCCUAAAUCAUUUUAUUUCAUAUCCCUGAUGGAGCAACACCAUCUUUCACAUUUGCUAUAACAGUUUAGCUUCUCUAAAAAUUAUACAGCAGCUCAGACACAAAGUGACUGUAGUUCAAGUCACCUGAGGAUCUACAGGCUUUAAAAUGUAGCCACUUCAGUCAAACACCACCUGCUCAGGCAAAGGAAUAAACUUCUGUGUCAUUUGUUAGGAAUUAUAGUUAUAUAGAGACUCUCCAUUACACUUCCAGAAAAGCUGGGUCACGACUGCAAAAGUAGGGCAGAAUAUUGGCAACAGAGAGACAGCUAAACAGCGAGCGACUGCAAAAAGUUGAACGCAUUUCUCCCCUUAAGAAAACAACUACUCAAACUGUUUUAUUUUCUUUAGCUCAAGUAAGAAUCUAUUAUGAUUAGGCCCAUCUGUAUGAGAGCCCAGCUGCUUUCACUGCCGCUCAAACACAUUCAGCAUGCUCGGAUAUAUAUAAUAAUCAUUUACAAGAAUGAUGGUAAGAUAUGUCAUGAAUAGUGAUGAAUCAUGAUCUGUUGUACUCAUAAUGCAGUAAGAAAACAGAACAAGAUAGUAUGCCACCUUCAACUGCAACUUCAGCUGGUAACACACGUCAGUUGUGACUCUCUCUUACAGGACAUGAACACAGAGGGAAAUUAAUAGCUUUAGUAGUGAUGACUAAUAAAUAACCUGGCUCCAAUGUGAGGUCAGAAUCCCUCACAAAGAGGCUCUGCUUUCAGUGGAGUCAUGACCACCGGCACCGAGACAGAGAACACACAGCUUUCAAGGGAGCCCAGCCCACGGCUGUGACAUCAGCGACUGUCGGCUUAGUCACUGACAGCACGAGCUACGAGGCAGAGGCAGCAGCAACCACCUCCUCAAAGACGUCAGCUCCUCACGAACGCGGGCAGCCAUUUUGAAUCCAGCCAGUCACCUGGCACAAACUGCAUUUUGCGCCGGAGCAACUCAAGCAGAGUUGUACUUUUCACAAUACGCUUCACUACUUUGUAAAAGUUGCCUCAGUCUUGGUUCCAUGAAUAAACCGUUGUAAUCAGAGAUGUUUCCAUACUACGACCCACAAGGUGAACGCUAAAGGUUGGCAAGUGUAUUUGUGCCAGGAGGAGUGAGAAUGUUUAGUUAUUUUAAAAUGCCAUAAAUACAGAAUGAACUUCAAGGAAAUUGCACCCGAAUGCCCUUCGGUGAGCACAAUGGGAAAAAAAAAAUAACUAAGCAUAUGGGAAUGGCUGUAUGUUUACAGUGUAUAUUAAUAAUAUUCUGUUUAGUUCCAAGCCAAUUUCUAAAGAUCAGUUAUCUAUUUAGAUUAGUAAACAACAUAAUAAAACAUGAUACUAAUUGAUAAUCCUAAAAAAAUUACUAGAUAAAGUCAACAAACCAGAGCAACUAAAGUGAUUUUCUCUCAUUUAGCCUUUUACUGUAAACUAAACCUCAGAUUAUACAGUCCAUCGUGAUAUGAUGGAGCAUGUAGUAAGAACAUAAACAGAGUAUUUUACACUGAGCAAUAUGAGAUUCCAAAGGAGGAGAUAUAUGAUUAAUUUAAGAAAAACUAUUAACAUAUGAUGGUUAAGGAGUCACCACUAAAGCUGCUGCAAGAUCUUAAGAUACAGAUGCAUCUCUUUGAUUUGAAUCAGAUUCAUUUAGAGCUUUGUUGCCAAAUAUAACUUUAUGUAAACUCAAGAAAACACUCUGAUGAUGCAAAACUGCUAUAUAUAUUUUUUACCCUGGAGGGCCGGUGUCCUGCAGAGUUUAGCUCCAACUUGCCUCAACACACCUGCCUGGAAGUUUCUAGUAUGACCAGUAAGAGCUUGAUGAGCUGGUUCAGGUGUAACUCAUUGGGGUUGGAGCUAAACUCUGCUGGGCACCCUUGCACUAAACCAUAUUGGAGGAAUAUUUUAAAACUGCUUUUUUAGCAACAUCAGACUACCUGAAAAAGUAGGAAAGACCUGCCAAUCAUAAGUAAACAGUCCAGGAUUUCUGACAGAUAGGAGAUUCGGUCUGUACAUACCUUGGGAAAGCAUUUGGAAUGACAUGCGACUGGACACUGAAGCAAAUAUCAAGCGUGGGCCGUUAGUUUGCUACACCUGAAGUG
rnacentral:lncRNA from 1 species